rnacentral:misc_RNA from 1 species
AUCCAACAUCUUAAAAUACACCUGAAAGGCAUUCUUAUGUAACUUAAAAGUUUUCAACAAUAGCAAAGAAAUCAAAUCAUAAUAGCUGGUGAAUAAAACUUAAAACAGCCAAAGAAAAGGCUUUAAACGCUUGGCAAUUCAUAUGACUUAAAGAAAUGGCAGGUGAAAAGUUGAGAUAAAUCCAAGUCACUGCAAGAAAAUAAAUGUUCCUUAGUGCUCUAACUGGCCUCUGACUUUUAUCCACACAGAACUGAAUAUCUUGGUGAAAAUGAACAAAAUUUCUGAAAUUGAAGUUGAUAAAGAAUUGAGAUGUAAUAGAGGCUUCUAAAAUUUCCGCCUAAUUGUCAGCUGACAGAAAUUAAACAUCAUUGGAAAUGGUUAUGAGCUUCGAUCCUUCUAGCUCACAAUCAUAGGAUAUAGAAAUUCCAUGCAUCAACCGAAUAUGAAAAUAACUAUGUUAGAAUCAGAUUGGUUUAUCAAAUUAUCUUCUAAACUUAACAGCUUUUGAUGAGCGUGUUAAGAUAUGUGCCAUAAAUAACUAGGAUAUGUGUA